UCAACUAGGCUACAUACUACAAGGCAACAGCCAAUGUUACGAUAUGGCCAUUGAUAAUUGGAGAGCAGCAUUGGAAUGUGACAGGUUGUCUGGGUUAAAAGCCCUACUAAAUAGAUUCCUUUGGGGAAACUUUGUCUGCUCCUAAGUUACACAGUACACAUAAGCUACUUUAAAAAAUAAAAACAAAUUCAGAUUAGGAUUUCGAGGAGAUUUCAGCUGAAGUUGAUCUGAGUGCAGACUUAGGGCUUGUGAAAACAGAGAUCAAACGGGACAAUCCAAUAAUGCAAGAUAUGUCUUCCUAAAAUAAAAGGUCUGUAUUUGCAAGGUACUUCU